GUGGGGAAUUUUGGACAAUGGGCGCAAGCCUGAUCCAACAAUGCCGCGUGCAGGAAGAAGGCCUUCGGGUUGUAAACUGCUUUUGUACGGAACGAAACGGUCCUGGUUAAUACCCGGGGCUAAUGACGGUACCGUAAGAAUAAGCACCGGCUAACUACGUGCCAGCAGCCGCGGUAAUACGUAGGGUACAAGCGUUAAUCGGAAUUACUGGGCGUAAAGCGUGCGCAGGCGGUUUUGUAAGACAGGCGUGAAAUCCCCGGGCUCAACCUGGGAAUUGCGCUUGUGACUGCAAGGCUGGAGUGCGGCAGAGGGGGAUGGAAUUCCGCGUGUAGCAGUGAAAUGCGUAGAUAUGCGGAGGAACACCGAUGGCGAAGGCAAUCCCCUGGGCCUGCACUGACGCUCAUGCACGAAAGCGUGGGGAGCAAACAGGAUUAGAUACCCUGGUAGUCC
rnacentral:rRNA from 1 species